rnacentral:lncRNA from 1 species
GGAAAUGAAAUGAAAUUUAAUUUAUCUGUUAAAAUAAUUAUGCUACACCAAAUAUAAUAAUUUUAUUCCUUCAAUUUAAAUGUAACAUUAGGUCACACAAAAUUCAUGACCCAUGACUAUAGUAUAGUGGCAAAAAAGAAGAUGUAUACAAAUUGUUUAGAAAAUAAAAAAUAAAUUUAUAGAAUCAUAUCAAUGUCAAACAUGUAAUACAUUUUAGGAUUGCAAAAGCAAUGAACUAUCCCUAAUCAAGUGGUAGGUUAGAUUAUUUAUUUCACUCAAAAUUUAGGUUUGAAUCCUAUCCAACCACUCCCAGAGGUAUUAUGAUGAUCUUCUCUAUUUCAAAUGAAAUGAAGAGUCUUUAUUUUUUUUUUAUAUUCUUUAUCAUCGUCUCUCUCAUCAUCAUGAUGUCACAUUCCAACAUACAGUAAAACCUCUAUUUAGGAAUAGACUUGAGACCAAACUAUUUAUAUUCUAAUUGAGAGGUUAUUACUAAAUAGAGGUAUUGGUACAAAAUAUUUUCCGAACACCCAAAAAUAUCCACUUUAACAAAAUAUCAAUAAGAACUCCCUAAUGUAGUCUUUUAUAGGAAAAUGUGGUCUUUUUAUUGAAAAUAUAGUCUUUUAUAGGAAAAUAUAGUUCUUUAUAGGAAAUGUAGUCUUUUAUAGGAAAAUGUAGUUCUUUAUAAGAAAUGUAGUCUUUUAAAAUUAAUAUUGUCU